UUUAAUCAGUCGGUCAGUAUUUCUGUUUGUUCCGUCUCCCAUAACCCUAAGAUAUUCUCCAAAUCUUCCGUAUCAAGAAUUUUUGGUAUCUUCCUCUGAAGAUAACGGAAACAAAACAACUUGCAUAUAGAUUUCGCCAGAUUGAGUAACUAAUUUCCGAUUAAAACUGAGCAGAUUACUUUUUCCGCUGCCGAUUUUUGAUUCUCCCUCCAAAACCUAAAUCAAGAAACUAAUUUCCGAGUAAAAUUGAGGGGUUUUAGUUUCUUUUGGCGGGAUAUUUCCCACAAAUCGGUUUGGGGUUUCGAAUUUCGUCCAAUUCAGAAGGCUAUAUAAACCCCAAGUCAAGGAUGAAAUUUCUACACUCAUCAGUAAUAUCUUCGGAGACUUAUUUCUUAAAUCUUCAAGGUACUCUUUGAUUCUUUAGCCUUCUGCGUUUUCGUUUUUGUUUUUGAGUAUGGUUGUUGAUGGGUUCCUCUUCCGUGGAAUCAAAUCAAUGUCAAUAAUUUACAUUUUUUUUUUUUUAAAUUUUGAGUAUGGUUGUUGAUGGGUUCCUCUUCCAUGGAAUCAAAUGAGUGCCAAUUUUAAGCAAAACUCCAGCUGCUUUACAUCUAGUGGUGUUGCCUUUUAGUUUCUCAUCUGAACAGGAAUCAAAACAUUCUCAUUGCUAAUCAACUCCCAGCAUUAUUGAGAACUGGGGUACACGACCAAAUAGUAGCCGUAACUCAUCUCAUUCAGACCAUAUAAAGCCUUUAUAAAAGCAACUCAUCUCAUUAGAUACAAAUAGGAGUCCUCCAUGGUGUUCACACCUUCUGUGACCAUGUAGGUCACUCGAGUAUACAGCAUAAAGUUCACGCAAAAGUGAGUGAUCCACAUGAAGAAGAGACACCUGUUCCCCAUAGAUUAUUUAUUUUGUGGUUUCAGUCCCACCUGUGUGAUAUUACAUAACUUUGGGUUGACGUGAACCAGCAUUGUAUGAGGUAGGCAACAGGUUUAAAUCAAUGGCAAAUUCUUCCCUGUCAAGCAAAGCCCAGGUGUUCUUGUGAUACAUAGGUGACUGAAAAGGUUGUAACUUAAGUGUUAACACGUGCAUUAGUGGAGAAUACUUCCAGAGCCCCAUUUUCAAAAGGCUGUCUCGGUGCUUCUUUCUUUAGCAACUGAUGGCAUUUGGCGAACCAGGCACCUUUUGUUCUGUCGUGUGAUGAGAAACAAGAAAUCUGGAAAAGCACUGAAAAGCUACUCACAGACUCAGAAGUUGAGGUAAGGGAACAUGCUGCUGGAGUUCUUGCAGGCUUGUUAAAGGGUGGGGAUGAGGAUCUGGUCAGUAGAGUGGAGAUGGAGGCAAAAUUCGCUGAGUCAGCAGAAAGAAGGGAUUCACCGCUUUAUGCUUGGAUAGAGACCACCAUAGAUCCGUUGUACAAGAUCCUAGACUCCAUGUCAUCUGGGAUAAUUUCAGACCCUCUUGUAUAGGGCAUUGUCGCCUGCUUGUUAGUUUAAAGGACGUGCGCAGAGGUUUGCAAUGAGAAUGGUAAACUUGGUUGUGUGCUGGGGAUCUAAUGCUUGUUUUAUGCGGGUAACUCUCAAUCUUGCAUGUAGAAAACUGUAUGCCUAGAAUUUCAUGUCAUCUGGGAUAAUUUCCUUGGCAUAAUGCUUGAUUUAUAAGGAUAAUUCUCAGUCUGUAUGCCUAGAAUUACAUGUCAUUUGGGGUAGUUUGAUUGGCAGUGAGCCAACUCUUAUGUUGGGACUUAAUCAAGGCAAAUUAUAUAGGGUUUCAGUUUCUUUACAUUGCUUAUUGUCCAAGUAUGAAGCUGCUGAAGCUUUAGACAUGAAAGACUGCUAUGGAUUGGGCUUUGGGCUACA